UUGACGUUCAUCCCUGUAUGGUCCCUAAUUAUCCAGCAAGCCCUCCUGCUGCCUGCGUCCAACUGCCAGCUGAGACAUGUCGGUGAUCAGGAAGCAUGGAUUACCUGAGGGAAACCAAUGUCACAAACUAACCUAAAGCUUCAGGUGCGGUCCAUUUGAUCGGCAGCUUGACUUUAUCAGUUUCCUUGGAGCCCACCUUGGUCAGGCCAAAGUCGCUAACCUUGG